CCUACGGGGCGCAGCAGUGAGGAAUAUUGGUCAAUGGACGGAAGUCUGAACCAGCCAUGCCGCGUGCAGGAAGACGGCUCGAUGAGUUGUAAACUGCUUUUGUACAAGGGGAAACCUGAAUACGUGUAUGCAGCUGAAAGUACGGUACGAAUAAGGAUCGGCUAACUCCGUGCCAGCAGCCGCGGUAAUACGGAGGAUCCAAGCGUUAGCCGGAUUUAUUUGGGUUAAAGGGUGCGUAGGCGGAUUGAUAAGUUAGAGGUGAAAUGUCCGGGCUUAACUCGGGAAAUGCCUCUCAUACUGGUGAUCUCGAGCGUAGCUGCGGUAGGCGGAAUG
rnacentral:rRNA from 1 species